CCCCGGGGCCGUCCCCGCCGCGGCGGGCGGUGGAGGGGGCGAGCGGCCGCCUUUCUUCCCUUCUCGCUCCGCUCCGCCGCGGCCAGUAGGAGCCCCGCACCGCUCGGACCGGGACCUUCGCGGAGCGGGCUGAGAUGAUGCUGCUCUGUAGCGCGCCCAAAGUGGCUCCGGGAGCGGGCAGAGGAAACCAAAUCUUAGUCGAAUCCUCUGCUCAGCUAAUGAGAAGAGCACCGCACAGCCCCGCACACAGGGACUGCUCUCACACCACGCUGAUAGCAGCUCCUUGUGAGAAAGUUGCAAAGAAAACAACCCACCAGGACCUGCCAGAGCGCUGCCUUCUCCUUUUCAAUACAUUAAUUCUGCAACGAUCAAAUAUUUUUGUGCUGCUCAACCUCCAGUUGAUAAAUUAAUGCCACUGGGAUUAAAUUCAACAUGUAAACCGGUGUCAGCCAUAGAUGGAUACUCUGGGGGUAAGACAGAUAGCGAGUUGUUUUAAAUGCAUGGAUUUAAAAGGGAAAACAGUAACAAAGGAACAGGUGAUGAGAAGAAGCAAGCUUUAAAUCCUCUGUGUAUGGUUCUUUAAGAAAAGCUUUCCAUGAAUAAUGCCCUUAUAAAUUCUUUCAUCUGCGCAGAAAAUAAAUGCAGCCACAAUAUUUCUGAGCUCAACUGUCAAUUGCACAUCCAUCCCAUACAGAAGGGCCUCCAAUGCAAACAUCCAUAACCCAAUGCUUCUACCUGUGCCUUUGGUGCUCAGCCUGUUUCUUUUGCUGUCUCAAGGCUCAGGCUGUGCUGUUGGGUCUCCUAAAGACCAAAUUCAGUGGAGCUGCUGAAGAAAGGUACCAUGUCACAUUAAUUUAUGGAGCAGGGUUGCUUUCACUGAUAGGCUCAGCAUGUUUUAUUGCUCAUCAUCAACAGCGUUACACUAAUGGCUGGAAACCUUUAGCUCCACAUUGUUUAAUCUGUCAGAUUACCCAGAUGUAUAAAAUUAGUCAUGCACAUUUUCAGGAUCAAAAUGUAAUAUCGAGCUAUUACUACAGCUUCUCUCAUAAUGCAUGCCCCACUCUGUGACCCAGGUAGGCUGAUCCCUAUUUAUUUCACUUGAAGACCUCAAAAUGGAUCUUUAAAUCCGCCUCUGUGGGUUUCCUACAUUUCUUAUUUCACCCUUCUAAUUCAAUCUAAAGUCAAAACAAAACUACAGGGUUGGGCUCAUGUGUCCAACUCAUGGAAGAUGGAGACCAAAACAGUACCCUACAGUCCUUUAAACUACCACAGAAUGAUUUUACCAUUAUUCUCAGCAGUAGAAGAUACCUAAAUCUGUAUUUACUAAUACGUGUGUGAGAAAGCAGAACUAUACAGGUUGAGGAAAUCUAAAUUCAACAGAAAGCUCAGGAACAGGAAUGGGAUGGGAGGCUCAGAGCAAUACCUUGGUGUGUUCUCGAGAUGUCACCUUGUCCCUUCAUGCUCCACACCGUGACUGUGCCGUUCUUAAUUCAAUCCUGAAGAUCCUUGGUAAUGAACAUUCAGCAACUCAGAAAGCGAUGUACUUCCUAUUGUUUAGAGAGUUUAUCUUCUAAUGUGAGCCUUUCUUAUGUCUUUUAAGCUCUUUUCCAUCUGUUCCAUCCCUUAGGUACAGAGAACAGUUGUUUCAUUCCCAUUUGCAAGAUUCUUUAAUGAAAAGAAAACAAGUUAUCAUGUCAUCCUUUUUCCUGUCCCUUCCCUGAAAAGUAUUCCUUUCUCCUUUAUGCAAUUAAAAAAUUCCCUCACGUUUUCUCCAUUUCUGAUCGUUGCCAUUAUUCUGUUCUUUGCUGAAGAUUCUCUCCCAUCUUCUUUUGAAACACGGUGACCAAACCAGGAAAUAAUACAUCCAUCACAGGCUCUGACAACGCUGAUAAAGGGG
ensembl:lncRNA